rnacentral:lncRNA from 1 species
UUUACAUGCAGCCACCAGCACAAUCCCAGGCUCCGGUCCCGGCACAACCUCAAUCCCAGUCUCUGCCCCAGCCGCAACCACUUAAUCCUCAAGCUCAACCUCAAAUGCAAGCUCUACCUAAGGGGCAGACUCAACCACAGGUUCAAGCUGUGGGGCAACAGCAUCAAAACCAGGUUCAAGUCAACCGACAGCAGCAGCUCCCACCUACUAUGCAACCUCAAACCCAAAUUCCGUC